rnacentral:lncRNA from 1 species
AUGAGCACCGAGGUGGGGAUGAAGACCCAGGUGGGGACGGCGAGCGACGAGGCUGGGAUGAUGAGCACUGAGGUGGAGACGGCAACCACUGGGACUGGGAUGAUGGCCACCGAGUCGGAGUCAGUGACCAACCAGGUGGAGAUGAUGGCCACUGAAAGGGGGAUGAUGGCCACCAAGAUUGGGACAGCAAGCACUGGGGCUGGGAUGGGGACAGUGACCGCUGAGAUUGAGACGAUGACCAGCCAGAUGGAGAUGAUGGCCAAUGAGAUGGGGAUGAUGGCCACCAAGACUGGAACGAUGACCACCACGAUGGGGUCAAUGACCAACGGGACUGGGAUGGGGACCACGGCCAGCCAGAUGGAGAUGAUGGCCACCGAGAUGGGGAUGAUGGCCACCAAGACUGGAACGAUGACCACUGGGAUGGGGCCAAUGACCACUGGGAUGGAGACCACGACCAGCCAGAUGGGGACGAUGACCACUGAAAGGGGGACGAUGACCACCGAGAUGGAGACAACAGCCGAAUGGGUGGCGAGUGGGACGGGCGGCGUGCAGCAUCCACACCCCAAAAAGCAGCGGGGACCCCGAGCCCAAAGGACGAACCAACGGGACCACAGGGACACAGGGAAGCCCCCAAAUCCCACCGCGGCUUCAGGCACCCGCUUAUGGGGCAGCAUUGGGGUGGGAGGGGACGGGGAUUGGGAUCUGGGGCUCCCCGGAGCUCCGAGCUGUGCUGUGGGGUGAUGGGUGAUGGGGUCUGACGGGUGCACACGGAUGGCUGAGCACGCAGUGCUGCACAUUGCGGGCCAUGUGACGGCACACGGGGCUGUGGGGCGGGCGAUGCGGGGUGCUGUGUACGGACACGUGCCCCCCUACCCCCCCCCAACUCCUCCCCUCCAUCCCAUCUCCCCACCCCAUACAUCUUCUCCCAUCCCAAAGUGCUCGCCCCAUAGAAGCCCACCCCGUCUGUGCCCACCCCGUCUGUGCCCACCCCAUAGAAACAUCUUUGUCCCACGUACAUCCCACCCCCACCCCAUAUACGCCCCCCACCCCUUAUGCACACCCACCCCCUAUGCACCUCCACCACACACAUCCUCCCCCCCCACACCCCC